AAGAAGAAGAAGAAGAAGAAAGCUUUAUUGUGCAAGAAUUGGAUAACAGAGAUGGGAUUUCUUGUGCAUCCAGCCCACCAGCUCUCAAAUAAGCCCAAAAUGAGACCCAUUUGCUUUAACAAUCUUCCCAUCACAAACACCAUAUACUCUUUGAUUUCCCACGUGAUUUCAGCCUUAGCUCUCAUCUUCUUCCACCAGCAACACCACCACCACACCACAACCAUAGAAAUCUG
rnacentral:misc_RNA from 1 species